GAAAUUGUUCAAAUUGUGUAAUCAUCAAUUACUGAUAUUGGUAAGCGACCCAAAGCGAUUUGAUUAUAAUUCAAUUCGUGACGAUCAUAAGUAGAAAGUUCAUAUUCUUCGGUCAUUGAUAAACAAUUUGUUGGAGAUUUGAUUAUAAUUCAAUUCGUGACGAUCAUAAGUAGAAAGUUCAUACUCUUCGGUCAUUAAUAAACAAUUUGUUGGACAAUACUCAACGCAAUUACUACAAAAUAUACAGAUUCCAAAAUCAAUACUUUAAUUAAGCAAUCGUUUCUUUCGAAUAUCAGUUUCCAACUUCCAAUCAACAACGGGUAAAUCUAUAGGACAUACACGCACACAUACUUCACAAGCAAAGCAUUUAUCAAAUUCAAAGUGGAUUCGGCCUCGGAAACGUUCC
rnacentral:lncRNA from 1 species